CCUUUCUGUUAGGGGGGGACUGCGGAAGGAUCAUUACUGUGAUUUAGUACUACACUGCGUGAGCGGAACGAAAACAACAACACCUAAAAUGUGGAAUAUAGCAUAUAGUCGACAAGAGAAAUCUACGAAAAACAAACAAAACUUUCAACAACGGAUCUCUUGGUUCUCGCAUCGAUGAAGAGCGCAGCGAAAUGCGAUACCUAGUGUGAAUUGCAGCCAUCGUGAAUCAUCGAGUUCUUGAACGCACAUUGCGCCCCUCGGCAUUCCGGGGGGCAUGCCUGUUUGAGCGUCGUUUCCAUCUUGCGCGUGCGCAGAGUUGGGGGAGCGGAGCGGACGACGUGUAAAGAGCGUCGGAGCUGCGACUCGCCUGAAAGGGAGCGAAGCUGGCCGAGCGAACUAGACUUUUUUUCAGGGACGCUUGGCGGCCGAGAGCGAGUGUUGCGAGACAACAAAAAGCUCGACCUCAAAUCAGGUAGGAAUACCCGCUGAACUUAAGCAUAUCAAAAGCCGGGAGGAAA
rnacentral:rRNA from 1 species